AAAUCAUGGAAAUUUUCUAAGAAUUGAAAAAAGAAAAAAAUCAAGUUAAAAUCUUCCAAAAAAAAAAAGUUUUGUGCGGUAAAGUUUCUUGCUUCCUGGCAAAAGUGUGUCAUUUCGUUUUAUGUUGGCUUUUUCCAUUCCGCUCGCUCUGUUGUUCAUCCUUUUUGCCUUGCCUUGUAACAUUAUUUACAACAAUUUACUGUCGGUAACAUACUUUUAGGCGUUGUAACCUUAUUUCUUCGUUUAAGAGCAUAACCACAGGCUCCCACACACACACACACACACAAACACUCAAACUCAAAAACGUAUAGAAAAAGCGGCCUAAAAAAUAUAUACUUGUGCUAUAAUACUACUACGUGUACUACCACUGCCACAAUGUUGUUGAAUCUAAAAGCCUUAAAGAAAAGAUACGCCUAAAAAUAUGCCGUAUUAUGCAUAACAACAUAAAUUUUUUGCCAAAAUUAAAAAGUGAUGCUAGCCAAAAUGUUAUGGCCACAAAGUUUACUAUCGGUCGUUGCUCCCCACAACAACAAAACAAACAUAUUAAAUCUCCUGAAUAGGCUUUAAAAAAGAAGGAUUAUAAUUUCAAGUAUAUAUACAAAAAAAAAAGAAAAUUCAAUCUACAUGGCAAAGCAAUAAAGAGGAAGAAAAAGAAAAGCCUAAACUAACCUAACCUAAUGUGCGGCACUAAAAUAUGAAUUUGCUCCCUUUGGUGCCCUUUUAUUCAUUCCAGACCAACACAAAAACAAAAGCAUCAACGAAUUUCGAAAAAAAACAACAACAAAAAGCGAGGCAAGCCCAACAGCCACGCAGAAGGUAAAAAAAGUAUGAAAAAGUGAAUUUUGUAGUCUGACUCCAAAUGAAAUUGAAUUGCAAAAACGUAAAAGAAAAUUAAAUAAUAUCUAGAAAGUGUAUUAAAAGCAUUUGUCUGCAACGUGACUUUGGUGGGGCGUUGAAUUUCGGUGUUUCACAACCCUCUCCCCAGCUAAAGAAACAGUGGAGAGAAUGUUUGCAAGUCAAGACAAAAAAUAAAGACAAAGUGGAUAAUAAA
rnacentral:sRNA from 1 species